rnacentral:lncRNA from 1 species
UGUCAUUUAUAUCAAAUAUUCAUAAUCUUUCAUGUGGUGCUUACAUGUAGUGAUUACAUAUAUUUCACAUGGUCUUUAAAUAUAAUAUAUGUUCACAUUUUAUAAUAUUAGUUGAUAUUUCAUAAUAAACAGUUGAAAUGUUGUACAGUAGCCUAUAACUUCUCUGGAGAAUGUUCUUUUGUUCUGGCCCCUAAUCAAUUCACUACAAAAGCAGGUUUCCCAUUUCUAAGAGAAAAGAAUGGUUUAUGUUCUAUAGUCUUUUCAUUCAGCAAUUUGGUGAUGUAUAGAUACAUUUUGUUGGAAUGAGAUUAUGCGGCACAGCUGUUGGCAUGGAAACGGUUUGGCCUGGCAGUCAGCACAUUCAGUCUGUUUUGGCAACAGUAGUUUUUAGCACUGGAGGCAAACACACACACACACACAUAUAUGUAGAAAUAUACAAGAAGAAAGAGUGAGAGAGAGAGAGAGUCUUAACAAUUUAUUAAUUGAAAAUGGCUGGCACAAACACUUUCCCUCUCUUCAUGCACAUAAGGAGAAGCGUAGCUGUGUGGUUCUGAGUUCAGUUCCACUGUGUGGCACCUUGGGUAAGCGUCUAUAGCCUUGGGCUUAUUUUUCUCUAUAGCAUGGCACCGCUCUACCAGUGGAGUGCCAGGUAUAUGGUCAAAUUUGUCAAAGUGGAUUUGUGGUGAUGGGAAUAAAUGUUUAAGUACUUAAGGCACUGGGUGGUUUUAUGAUUUGGGGAGCAGUGGCGGACUGGGUCUAAAAAUAUUAGUUGCCCGGAGACUACAAUUACAAUGCUAUCAUUUAUUUUUUUUAAGUAUUCUCUUCAACUGUCUACAAACACAGCCAGGCGGAAAUAAUGCAUUCUUCCAGGAGUGAAUAAAAAAUUCUCAAACUUGAGGGGAUGGGCCCCUUAGAUACUAACAUGAGCCCCCAUAUAUGGAUUAUAAUGGCACAGGGGCCACUUGCCAUCGGGCAAGCUGGCAACUUGGCCAGUCUGCCACUGACGGGGAGUAUUGGGAUGUUUUUAAGUUUAAAGUAACAUCUAAAAAUUAGUGGUUUUAUGGGAAUUUUCCAAGGUAAUGGAUAGGUUGAGAUUAGAGAAGAAUUUGUGCAGAUCUUUCCUAAUUCAUUCUAAAGAGGAUUUAUUAACACCCUUGGUGACUAGCAAAGCAUCUUGGCUUUGUUGUCUCAUUUUAUGUAACAUAUACAUGCUCAUACAUGACUUGCCUUAGACUCCUUGCUCAUGCUGUUAUUGAACCAGGAGUUUAACAGUGGUCCUUCUGUAGCACUUACAUAGCCGUACCUGCCUUUUGGGUCUUCUGGAUACCAAAACCAUAUAUAUGCACGUAUGUCUUUGCAUAUAUGUGUGUAUAUAUAUAUAUAUAUAUAUACUAGAAUUAGUACCCAGCCUUGCCCAGGAAAGUAUUCACAGAAAUGUUUGCCAGUUUGUAAAAUAGGAAUUCACGGUACUUAAGCAUGUUUUUUUAUAUUUAACCUAACUUCUGGACUUAUUUCAUUGGAACUAUCCAAGGAAUGGUAAUCUAUUUACACGGGUAGAAGGUUAUUUGAAACAGUUUUUAUCCUGAAAAAUUACCUUAAUUUUAUUUCAAAGUGAAAGAGAAGAGAAAGUGAAAGGUGUAUGAACGUGUGUAUGACAUAGACGUGGAUGUGAGAGAGAGAGAAAAUGUGUGUGUCACUUACACAUACAUGAGAACACACACGUUCACUCACACACACAUGCUCACGUAUAUACAAGAUGUACGCAUAUGUAUUGAUGUAUGUACGUAUACAUGACAACACACCCCUUUCCUCCUCACUGUCUCUCUCUCUCUCUUCCUCUCUCUCUCUGUCUGUCUCUCUCUCUCUUUCACACACACACACACGCAUGUCCAUUUCUAAUACAUCUUUCACUUUCUCCUCUCUUUUACUUCAAAACAAAAGUAAAUAAAAAAAAAAAAAACUCUUUAAGGAAAUUAAUGAAUUCCGGAGGAUGAAAUCUCAUUCAGUUAAAAAUAUUUCCAAAUGAUUAAAAUAUUGCCUACAUCAAAAAGUCGACGGUUAUUUUUUCUUCUUAGAUAGUGCGAAGACAAUGUGUGUGUAUAUGUCACAGAUAGUGAACAGGUGUUUGUGUUGAUUGACAUACCUUGACAUUCAUUAUAUGUGUGUGUAUUCUGUCUGUGUGUUGACGUCAUGGAAGCCAGGUAUUUUUAUCAUCAAGAAAUAAUAAAUAUUGUGUUUAAUUGUUUAAAUAGAGGUUCAAAUAUCACAAAAAUUUGUACUGCGCUGCCAAAGGUAAGUAUGAAAAUAAAUAUGUAAAAGAAUUAAGAUAAAAUAUGCUAUUUCUGAGAUAUUUCAGUUACACACAAACAUCCCUUAAGUUUUAGUAUUAUCAAGAUAUAUAUAAGGUGGCAAGCUGGCAGAAUCGUUAGCAUGCCAGGCGAAAUGCUUAGCGGUAUUUCGUCUGUCUUUACGUUCUGAGUUCAAAUUCCGCCAAGGUUGACUUUGCCUUUCAUCUUUUUGGGGGUUGAUAAAUUAAGUACCAGUUAUGUACUGGGGUCGAUCUAAUUGACUGGACCCCCUCCCCCCAAAAAAUUACAGGCCUUGUGCCUAUAACAGAAAGGAUUAUCAAGGUAGAUAUAUGCACGUAUGUCUUUGCAUCUGCUUCUUCUCCACCGAUGUUUGACAACCAGUGCUGGCAUGUCUACGUCCCCAUAACUUAGCAAUUUGGCAAAAGAGACUGAUAGAAUAAGUACCAGACUUCAAAAAAACAAAAAAGUACCGGAUUCAGUUUGUUUUAGUUAAAAUUGUUCAAGGUGAUGCCCCAGUAUGGCCACAGUCUAAGGAUUGAAACAAAUAAAAAAGAAAAGAUAAAGAAAGAUACACACAUAAAGAGAGAGAGAGAGAGCAGAAGAGGAAGGAGAGCAGAAGAGGAAGGAGAGCAGAAGAGGAAGGAGAGCAGAAGAGGAAGGAGAGAAAUUGAAACGUGUGAUGUUAAAUAAGCCAGCAUCAAAUCAGGGAUGCCAAACAGGCGCUGCCAAUACAGCUGUGCCAAAAUGUCUUGUACCCCCAAAGGAGUAUUUCUUCAUUGGAUGGUCUUUGGGCUGCAAUAUGUUCGUUGUUGAAACUGUUCUAUAAAUGUUGCAUUGCUAUGAAUGUGUCGUUUUAUAUGGGAAGGCUUUUAAUUCAUAUUUCCAUGACAACAAUCCUGAUUUUCAGCUUUAGUUCCCUACUCAAGAGAUAUUACAGGAAUGUCUGUUUAGCUAGAGUUUUAACAUUAUUCUCUAUGAAUUUUGUAGCAACAAAAUAUGAUUAACUCA